AGUCGAACGGCAGCACGGGGGCAACCCUGGUGGCGAGUGGCGAACGGGUGAGUAAUACAUCGGAACGUGUCCUGUAGUGGGGGAUAGCCCGGCGAAAGCCGGAUUAAUACCGCAUACGCUCUACGGAGGAAAGGGGGGGAUCUCAGGACCUCCCGCUACAGGGGCGGCCGAUGGCAGAUUAGCUAGUUGGUGGGGUAAAGGCCUACCAAGGCGACGAUCUGUAGCUGGUCUGAGAGGACGACCAGCCACACUGGGACUGAGACACGGCCCAGACUCCUACGGGAGGCAGCAGUGGGGAAUUUUGGACAAUGGGCGAAAGCCUGAUCCAGCAAUGCCGCGUGUGUGAAGAAGGCCUUCGGGUUGUAAAGCACUUUUGUCCGGAAAGAAAACCUCCGCCCUAAUAUGGUGGGGGGAUGACGGUACCGGAAGAAUAAGCACCGGCUAACUACGUGCCAGCAGCCGCGGUAAUACGUAGGGUGCAAGCGUUAAUCGGAAUUACUGGGCGUAAAGCGUGCGCAGGCGGUCCGCUAAGACAGAUGUGAAAUCCCCGGGCUUAACCUGGGAACUGCAUUUGUGACUGGCGGGCUAGAGUAUGGCAGAGGGGGGUAGAAUUCCACGUGUAGCAGUGAAAUGCGUAGAGAUGUGGAGGAAUACCGAUGGCGAAGGCAGCCCCCUGGGCCAAUACUGACGCUCAUGCACGAAAGCGUGGGGAGCAAACAGGAUUAGAUACCCUGGUAGUCCACGCCCUAAACGAUGUCAACUAGUUGUUGGGGAUUCAUUUCCUUAGUAACGUAGCUAACGCGUGAAGUUGACCGCCUGGGGAGUACGGUCGCAAGAUUAAAACUCAAAGGAAUUGACGGGGACCCGCACAAGCGGUGGAUGAUGUGGAUUAAUUCGAUGCAACGCGAAAAACCUUACCUACCCUUGACAUGUAUGGAACCCUGCUGAGAGGUGGGGGUGCCCGAAAGGGAGCCAUAACACAGGUGCUGCAUGGCUGUCGUCAGCUC
rnacentral:rRNA from 1 species